UAAGAGUGAAGCAGUUUGUGCACGUGUCCC
rnacentral:piRNA from 1 species